AGCCUGAACGCUGGCGGCGUGGCUAAGACAUGCAAGUCGAACGGGUGUAGCAAUACACCAGUGGCGGACGGGUGAGUAAUGAAUCGCUAAUGUGCCCCGGAGCCAGGGAUAGCUAUCCGAAAGGAUAGGUAAUACCUGAUGAGACCACAGUGCCGCAUGGCACAGUGCUCAAAGCAGCAAUGCACUCUGGGAGCAGGCGAUUUUGUAUCAGCUUGUUGGUGAGGUAAUGGCUCACCAAGGCGACGACGCAUAGCCGGACUGAGAGGUUGGCCGGCCACAUUGGGACUGAGACACUGCCCAGACUCCUACGGGGGGCUGCAGUAACGAAUCUUCCGCAAUGCACGAAAGUGUGACGGAGCGACGCCGCGUGUAGGACGAAGCCCCUUCGGGUGUAAACUACUGUCAGGGAAAGAAAGUUACUGAUCUACCCCAGAGGAAGGACGGCUAACUCUGUGCCAGCAGCCGCGGUAAU
rnacentral:rRNA from 1 species